rnacentral:rRNA from 1 species
CCUACGGGUGGCUGCAGUAGGGAAUAUUGCGCAAUGGGGGAAACCCUGACGCAGCAACGCCGCGUGAGUGAGGAAGGUCUUCGGAUUGUAAAACUCUUUUUUUAGGGAAAAAUGGUUAGAGAGCUAAUACCCUCUGAUUUGAUGGUACCUAAAGAAUAAGCACCGGCUAACUUCGUGCCAGCAGCCGCGGUAAUACGAAGGGUGCAAGCGUUGUUCGGAUUUAUUGGGCGUAAAGCGCGCGCAGGCGGAUCAGCAAGUCAGAUGUGAAAUCUCAG